rnacentral:rRNA from 1 species
UACGUAGGUGGCAAGCGUUAUCCGGAAUUAUUGGGCGUAAAGCGCGCGCAGGUGGUUUCUUAAGUCUGAUGUGAAAGCCCACGGCUCAACCGUGGAGGGUCAUUGGAAACUGGGAGACUUGAGUGCAGAAGAGGAAAGUGGAAUUCCAUGUGCAGCGGUGAAAUGCGUAGAGAUAUGGAGGAACACCAGUGGCGAAGGCGACUUUCUGGUCUGUAACUGACACUGAGGCGCGAAAGCGUGGGGAGCAAACAGG